UUUGUAUUUCCCUGCUGAUCAGUAUUUUUUUCCCUUUAACUCAGCUGAUAUGUCAGUAGUAUUCUGAAAGGUCUUGGAGAUGUGUUUGUUCAUGUGUUGUGUUUUAUUGCCAGCAUUCUUGAUGCCUGGGCUUAACUUUCAUUGUUGGGAAACUUCCGUGAUAAUAGUCAAUAUUCCUCAGCUACUGAGGACCUGACAUGCUGGGGACCAGGAAGCGGAAAGAGAAAAAAGGUCCAGAUUGUCACCCAGGAAGGUCUGGAAACACGAAGAAACUCAAGAUGCUCCUUUCAAUUGAGGGAGGAUCCCGUCUAACGCCUUGGACGUGAGUUGGCACGAACCAAACCCGCACAGAACAAUCCCCAUGCCCUCUGUGCUCAAGGAGACCCGGAGAACCUGGUAAGUGUGGGCUGAGUGCAGGUGAGUGUGCCCGUGGCCUCUGUGUGCUCGCCAUGCACCAUCAAUGAAUCACAAAUCAAAUAAAACGUGUGCAUCGACUCUCUCCGUCUCCACCAGAGCCCUGGCCAGGAAGAUGCUUUUAUGGCCAUUGUUUUUUUAACGACAACAUCGAGGCACAUGAUAUGUAUAUUAGCUAUUAUUUACAUAUAUUGUAUAUUUUCAUAUAUUACGCAUGACCUCAUGUGCAAGGGCUUGGAUACGCGUACAGACAGCGGCAGAGGCGGGCAGAAGACAGAACUGGUGUCCACAACAUGCUCGUGAGCUGUCGGAAAACCCGCACGGCUCAGAAUUGUGGAAUCGGAAGAACCUUCCUUCCAGGCAGGAAAGUGCUUUGCCCGGAAUUGUUGUCGGCUUCUCCCUGCAAGUGGCUGUGGCUCUCACAGCCCUGGUGUCUGCGUCCCAGAUUUCCCCCGAGAACUCAGAGUCUAGGGCUUGGUCAUUACAGCACAUCACAGCAGAAGUUCCCUAGGGGUUGGCUGUGCUAACGUCACGCACUGUGUCCCCCACCAGACCCCCGCAGGGCUGCCCUCAGCCCCCUCAGAGAUAGCAGGUGGCCACAUGGCAGGCUCCGCAUUCGAAUCUCCGUAUCCUCUGUGCAUUGACAGGCAGAGGACAUAUAAAGAAUAAAAAGGCACUUUCCAAAAAAAAAAAAAAAA